rnacentral:rRNA from 1 species
GUUAACUCGUGGCCGGGGUCCCCGGGAAUAGGGAGGGUGCAAUCGUUAAUCGAAAUUACUGGGGCUAAAGCGCGCGUAGGUGGUUCAGUAAGUUGGAAGUGAAAUCCCCGGGCUCAACCUGGGAACUGCUUUCAAAACUGCUGAGCUAGAGUACGGUAGAGGGUGGUGGAAUUUCCUGUGUAGCGGUGAAAUGCGUAGAUAUAGGAAGGAACACCAGUGGCGAAGGCGACCACCUGGACUGAUACUGACACUGAGGUGCGAAAGCGUGGGGAGCAAACAGGAUUAGAUACCCGGGUAGUC